UUCUACAAAACCAGUUUUGUUUU
rnacentral:snRNA from 1 species